GAAUCUGCCUAGAGGAUGGGGACAACCACGGGAAACGGUGGCUAAUACCCAAUGAGCGGAGACGUCAAAGAUUUAUCGCCUCUAGAGGAGCUCGCGUCUGAUUAGCUAGUUGGUGGGGUAAAAGCCUACCAAGGCGACGAUCAGUAGCUGGUCUGAGAGGACAACCAGCCACACUGGGACUGAGACACGGCCCAGACUCCUACGGGAGGCAGCAGUGGGGAAUUUUCCGCAAUGGGCGAAAGCCUGACGGAGCAAUACCGCGUGGGGGAGGAAGGCUCUUGGGUCGUAAACCUCUUUUCUCAGGGAAGAAGAAAGUGACGGUACCUGAGGAAUCAGCCUCGGCUAACUCCGUGCCAGCAGCCGCGGUAAUACGGAGGAGGCAAGCGUUAUCCGGAAUUAUUGGGCGUAAAGCGUCCGUAGGUGGCUCUUCAAGUCUGCUGUCAAAGAGUGGGGCUUAACCCUGCAAAGGCAGUGGAAACUGAAAGGCUAGAGAGCCGUAGGGGUAGAGGGAAUUCCCAGUGUAGCGGUGAAAUGCGUAGAUAUUGGGAAGAACACCGGUGGCGAAAGCGCUCUACUGGGCUACAACUGACGCUGAUGGACGAAAGCUAGGGGAGCGA
rnacentral:rRNA from 1 species